GAUCAUGGCUCAGGAUGAACGCUAGCGGCAGGCUUAACACAUGCAAGUCGAGGGGCAUCGGGAGUAGCAAUACUUGCCGGCGACCGGCGCAAGGGUGCGUAACGCGUGAGCAACAUGCCCGUAUCAGGGGGAUAAUCCAUGGAAACGUGGUCUAAUACCCCAUAGUAAUUAUGUAAGGCAUCUUAUAUAAUUUAAAGCUUUGGUGGAUACGGAUUGGCUCGCGUGACAUUAGCUAGAUGGUAAGGUAACGGCUUACCAUGGCUACGAUGUCUAGGGGUUCUGAGAGGAAGGCCCCCACACUGGAACUGAGACACGGUCCAGACUCCUACGGGAGGCAGCAGUGAGGAAUAUUGGACAAUGGAUGGAAAUCUGAUCCAGCCAUGCCGCGUGCAGGAAGACGGCCCUAUGGGUUGUAAACUGCUUUUGUAUGGGAGCAAUAAGGGCUACGCGUAGUCCGAUGAGAGUACCAUACGAAUAAGCACCGGCUAACUCCGUGCCAGCCGCCGC
rnacentral:rRNA from 1 species